rnacentral:tRNA from 1 species
AUUUGAAUAAUUUAAGAUAAAAUAUUGAUUUGUGGAGUCAAAAAUAUGAUAUAAAUCAUUUCAGAUU